rnacentral:rRNA from 1 species
GACGAACGCUGGCGGCGUGCUUAACACAUGCAAGUCGAGCGGUAAGGCCCUUUCGGGGGUACACGAGCGGCGAACGGGUGAGUAACACGUGGGUGACCUGCCCUCAGCUCUGGGAUAAGCCUGGGAAACCGGGUCUAAUACCGGAUAUGACUCCAUGACGCAUGUUGUGGGGUGGAAAGCCUUGUGCGGCUGAGGAUGGGCCCGCGGCCUAUCAGCUUGUUGGUGGGGUGANGGCCUACCAAGGCGACGACGGGUAGCCGGCCUGAGAGGGUGACCGGCCACACUGGGACUGAGACACGGCCCAGACUCCUACGGGAGGCAGCAGUGGGGAAUCUUGGACAAUGGGCGCAAGCCUGAUCCAGCCAUGCCGCGUGAGUGACGAAGGCCUU